rnacentral:rRNA from 1 species
CUAGGAUGAACGCUAGCGGCAGGCUUAACACAUGCAAGUCGAGGGGCAUCGGGAGUAGCAAUACUGCCGGCGACCGGCGCAAGGGUGCGUAACGCGUGAGCAACAUGCCCGUAUCAGGGGGAUAAUCCAUGGAAACGUGGUCUAAUACCCCAUAGUAAUUAUGUAAGGCAUCUUAUAUAAUUUAAAGCUUUGGUGGAUACGGAUUGGCUCGCGUGACAUUAGCUGGAUGGUAAGGUAACGGCUUACCAUGGCUACGAUGUCUAGGGGUUCUGAGAGGAAGGUCCCCCCACACUGGAACUGAGACACGGUCCAGACUCCUACGGGAGGCAGCAGUGAGGAAUAUUGGACAAUGGAUGGAAAUCUGAUCCAGCCAUGCCGCGUGCAGGAAAAGACGGCCCUAUGGGUUGUAAACUGCUUUUGUAUGGGAGCAAUAAGGGCUACGUGUAGUCCGAUGAGAGUACCAUACGAAUAAGCACCGGCUAACUCCGUGCCAGCCGCUGC